rnacentral:rRNA from 1 species
UCGAGAAUCUUUCGCAAUGGGCGCAAGCCUGACGAAGCGACGCCGUGUGAGCGAAGAAGGCCUUCGGGUUGUAAAGCUCUUUCGCUAGGGAACAAGAGAUAUGGGACAAUACCCCAUAAAUUUGAUGGUACUUGGUAAAGAAGCACCGGCUAACUACGUGCCAGCAGCCGCGGUAAUACGUAGGGACCAAGCGUUGUUCGGAUUUACUGGGCGUAAAGGGCGCGUAGGCGGCAAUUCAAGUCAUCUGUGAAAUCUCCGGGCUUAACUCGGAACGGUCAGAUGAUACUGCUUUGCUAGAGUGCAGAAGGGGCAAUCGGAAUUCUUGGUGUAGCGGUGAAAUGCGUAGAUAUCAAGAGGAACACCUGAGGUGAAGACGGGUUGCUGGGCUGACACUGACGCUGAGGCGCGAAAGCCAGGGGAGCAAACGGGAUUAGAUACCCCCGUAGUCCCUGAGCGGGCUGGCAAGGCGCAU